rnacentral:lncRNA from 1 species
GCGGCGGCGGGAGGUGGGGCCGGCGGGCGGGCGGUGCAGCUGCCGCCGGCGUCUCGGGGGCUCCAGGCUGCGGGGCGGACGCAGCGCCGAGCGAUCCACAGCCGAGUCCCGGCCCCGGCCCCGAGCGAGCCCCGCUGCCGCCGCCGCCCCGGGCCCGCCGCACCCCGGACACGCCGCGGCCGCCACCGCCGGGAAGGCAGCGGGCGCCGGGCAAGUUGCGAGCGAGCACGCCCCUCGCCCGGGGAAAGUUUCCCCCGCGGCCGCCGGCGGGAGUUGGCACGGGGUCCGGCCGCUGCCGCUGGAAGAGUUUACGGAAGCCGCCGUUGGAAAGAGACCUCGAGGCGUCUUUCCACCCCUGAAAGGAGAAGAAAGCGGUGGAAAGAGGCCCUGGGUUCGAGUCUUACCCCUGCCACUCACUGUGUGACCUCAGGCAAGGGACCUCCCAGAGCUCCAGUUUCCUUCCUCAUUAAGAGGCUUUGAUGAAGACCUGCC